GGGGCCAUAGCUCAGUUGGGAGAGCGCCUGCUUUGCAAGCAGGAGGUCACGGGUUCGAAUCCCGUUGGCUCCA
rnacentral:tRNA from 1 species